rnacentral:rRNA from 1 species
UACGGGGGGAGCAAGCGUUGUUCGGAUUUACUGGGCGUAAAGGGCGCGUAGGCGGUCAGCACAAGUCAGUUGUGAAAUCUCCGGGCUUAACUCGGAAAGGUCAACUGAUACUGUGCGACUAGAGUGCGGAAGGGGCAACUGGAAUUCCAGGUGUAGCGGUGAAAUGCGUAGAUAUCUGGAGGAACAUCAGUGGCGAAGGCGACACCCUGGACUCAUACUGACGCUGAUGCGCGAAAGCCAGGGGAGCGAACGGG